CUACGGGGGGCUGCAGUGGGGAAUAUUGCACAAUGGGCGCAAGCCUGAUGCAGCCAUGCCGCGUGUGUGAAGAAGGCCUUCGGGUUGUAAAGCACUUUCAGCGGGGAGGAAGGCGUUAAGGUUAAUAACCUUGGCGAUUGACGUUACCCGCAGAAGAAGCACCGGCUAACUCCGUGCCAGCAGCCGCGGUAAUACGGAGGGUGCAAGCGUUAAUCGGAAUUACUGGGCGUAAAGCGCACGCAGGCGGUCUGUCAAGUCGGAUGUGAAAUCCCCGGGCUCAACCUGGGAACUGCAUUCGAAACUGGCAGGCUAGAGUCUUGUAGAGGGGGGCAGAAUUCCAGGUGUAGCGGUGAAAUGCGUAGAGAUCUGGAGGAAUACCGGUGGCGAAGGCGGCCCCCUGGACAAAGACUGACGCUCAGGUGCGAAAGCGUGGGGAGCAAACAGGAUUAGAUACCCUUGUAGUC
rnacentral:rRNA from 1 species